UACGUAGGGACCAAGCGUUGUUCGGAUUUACUGGGCGUAAAGGGCGCGUAGGCGGCAAUUCAAGUCAGCUGUGAAAUCUCCGGGCUUAACUCGGAACGGUCAGCUGAUACUGCUUUGCUAGAGUGCAGAAGGGGCAAUCGGAAUUCUUGGUGUAGCGGUGAAAUGCGUAGAUAUCAAGAAGAACACCUGAGGUGAAGACGGGUUGCUGGGCUGACACUGACGCUGAGGCGCGAAAGCUAGGGUAGCAAACGGG
rnacentral:rRNA from 1 species